rnacentral:rRNA from 1 species
GCAGCCGCCGCGGGAAUACGGAGGGUGCAAGCGUUAAUCGGAAUUACUGGGCGUAAAGCGCACGCAGGCGGUCUGUCAAGUCAGAUGUGAAAUCCCCGGGCUUAACCUGGGAACUGCAUUUGAAACUGGCAGGCUAGAGUCUUGUAGAGGGGGGUAGAAUUCCAGGUGUAGCGGUGAAAUGCGUAGAGAUCUGGAGGAAUACCGGUGGCGAAGGCGGCCCCCUGGACAAAGACUGACGCUCAGGUGCGAAAGCGUGGGGAGCAAACAGGAUUAGAGACCCCAGUAGUCCCUGUCUCUUAUAC